ensembl:snRNA U7 U7 small nuclear RNA
AAGUGUUACCGCUCUUUUAGAAUUUGUCUAGCAGGGCUGGUUAUGGUGGCUUACACCUGUAAUCCGAG